rnacentral:misc_RNA from 1 species
UUUCCGUAGGUGAACCUGCGGAAGGAUCAUUAUUGUAUAACCGAGGUGCGAGGGCUGUCGCUGAACCGAAAGGUCGUGCACGCCCGAGUGCCCUCACACACAUCCAUCUCACCCCUAUGUGCACCACCGCGUGGGACCCCCUUUGGCUUGUUCGGAGGGGGGCUUACGUUUUCACACAAACUUUGUAUGCAGUGUAGAAUGUAUUUUUUGUUUUUGCGAUCACGCAAUCAAUACAACUUUCAACAACGGAUCUCUUGGCUCUC